UACGAAGGGGGCGAGCGUUGUUCGGAAUCACUGGGCGUAAAGGGCGCGUAGGCGGCCCCUCUUGUCGCGUGUGAAAGCCCCGGGCUCAACCUGGGAACGGCGCGCGAGACGGGAGGGCUGGAGUUCGGGAGAGGAGCGUGGAAUUCCUGGUGUAGAGGUGAAAUUCGUAGAUAUUAGGAAGAACACCAGUGGCGAAGGCGGCUCACUGGCCCGGUACUGACGCUCAUGUGCGAAAGCGUGGGGAGCAAACAGG
rnacentral:rRNA from 1 species